rnacentral:rRNA from 1 species
UGCCUACGGGGGGCAGCAGUGAGGAAUAUUGGUCAAUGGUCGGGAGACUGAACCAGCCAAGCCGCGUGAGGGAUGAAGGUACAGAGUAUCGUAAACCUCUUUUGUCAGGGAACAAAGGCGGGGACGUGUCCCCGGAUGAGUGUACCUGAAGAAAAAGCAUCGGCUAACUCCGUGCCAGCAGCCGCGGUAAUACGGAGGAUGCGAGCGUUAUCCGAAUUUAUUGGGUUUAAAGGGUGCGUAGGCGGUCCGUUAAGUCAGCGUUAAAAUUGCGG